CCUACGGGAGGCAGCAGUGAGGAAUAUUGGUCAAUGGCCGGAAGGCUGAACCAGCCAUGCCGCGUGAAGGUCAAUGCCCUAUGGGCGUUAAACUUCUUUUGUGCGGGAGCAAUAAUGGUCACGUGUGGCCAGACGAGAGUACCGUACGAAUAAGCAUCGGCUAACUCCGUGCCAGCAGCCGCGGUAAUACGGGGGAUGCAAGCGUUAUCCGGAUUUAUUGGGUUUAAAGGGUGCGUAGGCUGUGAGGUAAGUCAGCGGUGAAAUGCCCCCGCUCAACGGGGUGAAGUGCCAUUGAUACUGCCUGGCUGGAAUGCGGAUGCCGUGGGAGGAAUGUGUGGUGUAGCGGUGAAAUGCAUAGAUAUCACACAGAACACCGAUUGCGAAGGCAUCUCACGAAUCCGCGAUUGACGCUGAUGCACGAAAGCGUGGGUAUCAAACAGGAUUAGAUACCCUGGUAGUC
rnacentral:rRNA from 1 species